AGCGGCGCAAGGGUGAGUAAUGCGACGGGUAACCAAACCCCACAAAUGGGCAUAGCCGCGGGAAACCGCGGGUAAUUCCCAGCGAUGUCGGAGGGGGGCAUCCCCCUCCGACCAAAGUUCCGGCGUUGUGGGACGGGCCGUUGUGGUAUUAGUUUGUUGGCGGGGUGACGGCCCACCAAGACUGCGAUGCCUACCGGGCGUGCGAGCGUGGCCCGGCACACUGGAACUGAGACACUGUCCAG
rnacentral:rRNA from 1 species